rnacentral:rRNA from 1 species
UACGUAGGUGGCAAGCGUUGUCCGGAUUUACUGGGCGUAAAGAGCGCGCAGGCGGUCGUUCAAGUCGAGUGUGAAAGCCCCCGGCUCAACUGGGGAGGGUCACUCGAUACUGAUCGACUCGAAGGCAGAAGAGGGAAGCGGAAUUCCCGGUGUAGUGGUGAAAUGCGUAGAUAUCGGGAGGAACACCAGUGCGAAGGCGGCUUUCUGGUCUGCUCUUGACGCUGAGGCGCGAAAGCUAGGGUAGCAAACGGG